rnacentral:rRNA from 1 species
GGGGGGGGGGGGGGGGGGGGGGGGGGGAGGCGGGUGGGGGGGGGCGGGGGAGAGUGGGGCUUGGGGUGGCGUCGGUUGGGGCUUAGUGGCGGAGGGGGGAGGAGCGCGUGGGUAACCUGCGUCACACAGGGGGAUAGCAGUUAGAAAUGACUGCUAAGACCGCAUAACCGGAUCGGAGCGCAGGAUCCAGUCGGAAGAGAUUUAUCGGUGUGAAAUGGGCCCGCGUCUGAUGAGCUAGUUGGUGAGGUAACGGCCCACCAAGGCGACGACCAGUAGCCGGCGAGUGAGGGUGAUCGGCCUCAUUCGGACUGCGACACGGCCCGACCUCCUACGGGAGGCAGCAGUGGUGAAUAUUGCACAAUUGUGGAAACCCUGAUGCUGCCACGCCGCGUGAGUGAAGUAGUAUUUCGGUAUGCAAAGCUCUAUCAGCAGGGAAGAAAAUGACGGUACCUGAUUAAGAAGCCCCGGCUAACUACGUG